rnacentral:snoRNA from 1 species
ACCCCCUGGCAAUGGGCAAAGAGACACCUCAUUGGUGGUGGUGUUUUUAUUAGUCAGGGGCAGAGCAAAUGACAGUCCUUUGUUCAUUCUAGCUUGAUGCCUGGGUUGGUAUCCAAAGGUGUUUCAUGCCUAGAACCUAUAG